CAGGGUGGGCGGAAAUGAGCUAAGUUCCCCGAGAGUUGGGAAGCAGGAGGUCAAAUCUGAGGCCAGACCCUUGAACUACUUGCGCAACUCUUGAAGAAAAAUAAAGUCGGAGUAGGAGUUUUGAUGUGUGUUCACAGACUUCACUUGGAAUGAUCAUGUCAAAUUACCCGGGCUAAUCAUCAACCAACAGAGAUGAGGACUGAUUUCUACCAGUCUAUGCUGACUCCUGCAAUCCGAACAUUGCCUAAGAGGAUGCCUUAAGCCAGUUCUCCACAGGUGCCUGUGCUUGUGAGGGAUCUGGAAAAAGGGAAAUCACUUUGUUAUUGCUUUUGCAAGUAUGUUAUCCUAGAUGCAAAAAGACUACAAACAGGCUCAAUUAAGGUGAGUGCUAGAGGGAGCAGAGCUUCUGAGGAAGAAGGAGACCAGGAAACAGAAUGUGGCAAAGAAGUCCUCACUUGGGAUCUCAAAAGAUAUUCUUUGGAGGCCUCACAACCCAUCUGAUUUGCAGGCUUUAAAAUUUUAAGGCAAAGAUUACACACACACACACACACACACACACACACAUGCCACAGUCCUCC